GUUCUCACUUCAGCAGCACAUAUCCUAAAAGUGGAAUGAUACAGAGAAGAUUAACAUGGCACUUGCACAAGGAUGACACACAAAUUCGUGAAGUGCUCCAUAUUUUU
ensembl:snRNA U6 U6 spliceosomal RNA